rnacentral:sRNA from 1 species
AACUGCUCUACAUUUGGCCUGUGCCAGCGGCCAUGUGAAAGUGGUCACUCUCCUGGUUAGCAGAAAAUGCCAGAUUGAUAUCUGUGACAAAGAAAAUAGAACACCUUUGAUACAGGCUGUCCGUUGCCAGGAAGAGGCUUGUGCCGUUAUUCUGCUGGAACAUGGCGCCAAUCCAAACCUUAAGGAUAUCUACCGCAACACUGCUCUCCAUUAUGCCACGUGUAGUGAGAGCACCUCACUGGCAGAAAAACUGCUUUCCCAUGAUGCAGAUAUUGAAGCACUGGACAAGGUAUAGAUCAAUCAAUUUUCUUCUCAAAAUAUUUGUUUUAACGUUGACAUAGGUAAGGGUCAA